rnacentral:rRNA from 1 species
GUGGGGAAUCUUCCGCAAUGGACGAAAGCCUGAGGGAGCGACGCCGCGUGAGGGAUGAAGGCCCUUUGGGUUGUAAACCUCUGUUAGGGGGAAAGAAAAGCAGUGGAAGCAAUAUGUCCAUUGCCUGACGUUACCCCCAGAGAAAGCUCCGGCCAACUCCGUGCCAGCAGCCGCGGUAAUACGGGGGGAGCAAGCGUUGUCCGGAAUCAUUGGGCGUAAAGGGCGUGUAGGCGGCUUGGCAAGUCGAAUGUGAAAUCCCACGGCUCAACCGUGGAACUGCGUUCGAAACUGCCUUGCUUGAGUGCGGGAGAGGUGUGCGGAAUUCCUGGUGUAGCGGUGGAAUGCGUAGAUAUCAGGAAGAACACCGGUGGCGAAGGCGGCACACUGGCCCAGCACUGACGCUGAGGCGCGAAAGCGUGGGGAGCGAACGGGAUUAGAAACCCUAGUAGUCC